UGGUGGGAUCCAAAAUCUGGUUA
rnacentral:siRNA from 1 species